ACCUGGGUGGCUCAGUUGGUUCAGUGUCUAACUUUGGCUCAGGUCAUGCUCUCACAGUCUGUGGGUUCAAGCCCCACACCAGGUU
rnacentral:tRNA from 1 species